CGGGACGGGUGGGUAAUGUCUGGGAAACUGCCUGAUGGAGGGGGAUAACUACUGGAAACGGGAGCUAAUACCGCAUAACGUCGCAAGACCAAAGAGGGGGACCUUCGGGCCUCUUGCCAUCGGAUGUGCCCAGAUGGGAUUAGCUAGUAGGUGGGGUAACGGCUCACCUAGGCGACGAUCCCUAGCUGGUCUGAGAGGAUGACCAGCCACACUGGAACUGAGACACGGUCCAG
rnacentral:rRNA from 1 species